CCAGGCAAGACUUGUCUCUAAAGACAAAACAGUAAGAAAACCCCUCUCUCGGACUGAGUGCUGUUCAGAGCAAAUGGAGAAGGAAGGAAGCUGGCGGGAUCACUUCACAUCCCUGUUCAAUGUGGCUCUGGAAUGUGACCUGCCCACCUGUGAAGACUGGCUCAUUCCUCACUCAUACUUCAGACGGGGUGGGGCCACAGCUCAGCAGCAAGGUGAUGAUAGACCAGCAAUUAUUAGGUCCUAGGUUCAACCAUGGCAUCGGCA